UGGAGGUUUAUUUUGUCCAAGACCUUGUGCCCAGGAGGCGAACUCGGCUGGAGGCGAGGUCAGCUGACCGCGAUGCCCCCUGGAGGUGCCGCCGCACAGGGUCCCGCGUGGAUAGUCCUCGGGGAAACGGCCUUUCCACGCGGAUCCUUCUUCAUCUGGGACAUUGACGCUGUCAUGUUGUUUAAUUUCUAUCAUAUCUCACACAGCUAAUCAUUUUAAAUCUGUGAAGUUUCUUCUGAAAAUUAGGACUUUGUAGUUGCCACAAGUUCCACUAGAGGGCGGCAAAGGGCUACAUCUGAGCGAAGCUGCUGGGAGGAAAAACGAUUGAAAAGCCUUUGCUGGGGUUAAGCGGAAUGCGCGGGGCGUCUGCUCCCCGGCUUCCCAACGUAAAAUCGUUGUAACUGCUAGAAGCAUCAGAGAACUUUAAUGGACCAGCAGUAAACCGUGUGUGUUGGGCACACAAUUUACAAAUGAGAAAUCGAGCUCACUGCCCCGAAGAGGAUCACAGCCCAGGCCAUGCUUCCAACCCAGCGGCCGGUUAUCCUUGGAACACAUCUUUAUGCUUUGACUGCUAACUCGCAUGGAGGACAGCAACCCGAGAAGUCAUCCUGUCUACCCGGCUGCUAAGUGCGAUGACAGGAGAAACAAGGAUCCACCCCCAUAGGUCCGUCCAUAGGCCGCUCCCCCAGACCUCCUUGUCUCCCACCUCCCAGUCUCGCUCCUUCCACGCCCCUGAGAAGCUGGGAGGCAGAGAGAGGCAGGCACUUGAUGCCGGAAGCUGAUGGUGUGCACGGGAAGUGUCUCUCACUGCAGGUAACUCAGAUGUGGGCCAGGUGGAAGUCUGCUGUAUAAGACGACCCCAUUUUCCCAACAGGAUCCCC
rnacentral:lncRNA from 1 species